AUUGAACGCUGGCGGCAUGCCUUACACAUGCAAGUCGAACGGCAGCGGACCUUCGGGUGCCGGCGAGUGGCGAACGGGUGAGUAAUAUAUCGGAACGUACCUUUCAGUGGGGGAUAACGUAGCGAAAGUUACGCUAAUACCGCAUAUUCUGUGAGCAGGAAAGCAGGGGAUCGCAAGACCUUGCGCUGAUUGAGCGGCCGAUAUCAGAUUAGCUAGUUGGUGAGGUAAAGGCUCACCAAGGCGACGAUCUGUAGCGGGUCUGAGAGGAUGAUCCGCCACACUGGAACUGAGACACGGUCCAGACUCCUACGGGAGGCAGCAGUGGGGAAUUUUGGACAAUGGGCGCAAGCCUGAUCCAGCCAUGCCGCGUGAGUGAAGAAGGCCUCGGUUGUAAGCUCUUUCGGCCGGAGAAUACGCACAGGUUAAUACCCUGUGUGGAUGACGGUACCGGAAUAAGAAG
rnacentral:rRNA from 1 species